UAGGGAAUCUUCCGCAAUGGACGAAAGUCUGACGGAGCAACGCCGCGUGAGUGAAGAAGGAUUUCGGUUCGUAAAACUCUGUUGUUAGGGAAGAAAAAAUGUAUAGUAACUAUAUACAAAAGAGACGGUACCUAACCAGAAAGCCACGGCUAACUACGUGCCAGCAGCCGCGGUAAUACGUAGGUGGCAAGCGUUGUCCGGAAUUAUUGGGCGUAAAGCGCGCGCAGGUGGUUUAGAAAGUCUGAUGUGAAAGCCCACGGCUCAACCGUGGAGGGUCAUUGGAAACUAAUAAACUUGAGUGCAGGAGAGAAAAGUGGAAUUCCUAGUGUAGCGGUGGAAUGCGCAGAUAUUAGGAAGAACACCGGUGGCGAAGGCGGCCUUCUGGGCCAUAACUGACGCUGAGGAGCGAAAGCUAGGGGAGCGAACAGG
rnacentral:rRNA from 1 species